rnacentral:ribozyme from 1 species
UUUUCUUGUUUCAUUUUUUUACUUUUUUUUUUUCAUUUUUUUAUUGUUUUUUGACCCAUAUUCAAUGAAGAAAUUUAUCAAAAUAAACACACAACAAUAGGGCUCUAUACAGUUCCAUUAAAAAAAAAUUCACUCAUUUCGUUUCUUUAUUAUUCACUUCUUCAUCCUCUUAUCUCAAAAUUGAAAAUGUAAAGUAUUACAAUAUCACUUGUCUCUCUCUUCACAUGUGUGUUAUGUGUGUGUGUUGUUUGACAUUUUUUUUAGGUAAGAUGAUUGGAUAUAUCACACCAUCUCCAGGAAAGU